rnacentral:piRNA from 1 species
UGUGUAGAUAAAGGUUAAAACCAUUCCC